rnacentral:rRNA from 1 species
GACGAACGCUGGCGGCGUGCCUAAUACACGCAAGUAGAACGCUGAAGGAGGAGCUUGCUCUUCUGGAUGAGUUGCGAACGGGUGAGUAACGCGUAGGUAACCUGCCUGGUAGCGGGGGAUAACUAUUGGAAACGAUAGCUAAUACCGCAUAAGAGUAGAUGUUGCAUGACAUUUACUUAAAAGGUGCAAUUGCAUCACUACCAGAUGGACCUGCGUUGUAUUAGCUAGUUGGUGGGGUAACGGCUUACCAAGGCGACGAUACAUAGCCGACCUGAGAGGGUGAUCGGCCACACUGGGACUGAGACACGGCCCAGACUCCUACGGGAGGCAGCAGUAGGGAAUCUUCGGCAAUGGACGGAAGUCUGACCGAGCAACGCCGCGUGAGUGAAGAAGGUUGUCGGAUCGUAAAGCUCUGUUGUAAGAGAAGAACGAGUGUGAGAGUGGAAAGUUCACACUGUGACGGUAUCUUACCAGAAAGGGACGGCUAACUACGUG